UGGGGAAUAUUGGACAAUGGGCGCAAGCCUGAUCCAGCCAUGCCGCGUGAGUGAUGAAGGCCCUAGGGUUGUAAAGCUCUCUCACCGGUGAAGAUAAUGACGGUAACCGGAGAAGAAGCCCCGGCUAACUUCGUGCCAGCAGCCGCGGUAAUACGAAGGGGGCUAGCGUUGUUCGGAUUUACUGGGCGUAAAGCGCACGUAGGCGGACUUUUAAGUCAGGGGUGAAAUCCCGGGGCUCAACCCCGGAACUGCCUUUGAUACUGGAAGUCUUGAGUAUGGUAGAGGUGAGUGGAAUUCCGAGUGUAGAGGUGAAAUUCGUAGAUAUUCGGAGGAACACCAGUGGCGAAGGCGGCUCACUGGACCAUUACUGACGCUGAGGUGCGAAAGCGUGGGGAGCAAACAGG
rnacentral:rRNA from 1 species